GUCUCUAACGAUUGUUUGGUAUGCUUCACGCACUUGUUCCUUUGCUCUCUCCAGAUAUACUUUCGUUUUUUAGUUUCGUUAAGGUUUUCCUUACCCCAAAAUGACCUGAUUGUGCUGAUUUAUGAUAUGAUGAGUUUUAUUAGUCUAUUUUUGGUUACGUCAUCAUUGACUGUUUUGGGCUUUUCAAAGAUUCUGAUUAUUAUAUUGUUGUUAUCUUUCUCUUUAAGGCUUCGUAUGUUAACACAUUUUAAUAGCCAUUGAUUAAUAAUAUUUAUUAUAUUUCAGUUUCCUAAGUUCGGAAAGUAGCUUCUCCAGAAAAAUGCCUAAUUAUCGAGGAUUAUCUCAAGGUUUGAAAAUAUAAUUUGUUUUGACCUUUGUACUCCCGCAUGCGAAGGUGAUCAGUCUGCCUAUGAUAACUUCGAAAUCAUAAUUAGAUGAUUCUAGUCUAAUUCAUGUUGAUCGUGGCGAGGGAUAUCCGAUUAAUGGCCUGUUAUCUGCAAUGACUAUAAAUUUCUUUCCUCACGAGGGCGGUUACCAUAGCACGCAUAGCAAGGUGCAGACGAGCCGCUUUGAGAGAGAAUAGCACCUACAGCUGUUUCUGAAGCAUCAGUAGUGAGAAUAAGAGGUUUAUCAAGGUCUUCAUAUUGUUGGAAAUUGGGGGUUCCAUUAAUUUCUGGCGGAGAUCAUCAUACGCUGAUUCAUUAGAUGAAGGUAUGAUUAGACGAAGGUCUGCAAUAACAGUAGAAAGCAGUGAAGCGUUUAAUGUCAUCAGUGUCCUUAUGCGAAGUGCCCAAGGUUAUUCUGCGCGACUUUUUGGAAUCCUUUGGUUAGAUGUGUUAUUACGAUGACGUAAGCGAUUUUCGUAUACUAUUAUGUCGUCCACAUACAGGAAAGCUUCUGCUUUUGAUCUAGAAAGUGCUACAUCGAGCACACAUUGAAAACCAUUAGAUGAUAUCUAGUGACCAUUGCUGGUCGAAAACGCUGUUAGUGGUAAGGAGUCAUCGCCGAGUUCAAUUUGCAUUGUCUACCUUGUUUACUACGUCCUCUGUUCGUGCCAAUGCGUAUUUGUCAUUGACACUUUUGUCGUUUUUUUGUAGUUUUCUGUAAUCGACGACAAAUCUCCAGUGUUUUCCAUAGUUGUUUCCCUUUUUGGGCACAAGAAGUAAUGCUGAGUUGGGAGGGCUGACCGAUGGUUCCGUAACUCGGUUUCCUAGUAAUUUAUUGACUUGGUUGUUAAUCUCGUCAGUUUGGGAAUGUGGUAGGUGGUCUAUUGCCAGUGUUGGCCUAUACCAGUGUUUUGUUGUGUAUCUUGUUAACAAAAAUUGUUUGUUGCUAAUUCGAAAUUGUCACCAUUGAUUGCUGUGGUGAGAUUUAUAAUGUUUAGGAGUUUAGGGGGAUAACGUUCUUCUAAUUGUUUUUCACUUACUUUACUAACAGGUGUUAUGUUACAAUCCUCAAAUGGUUGUGUUUUGAUUUCUAAGUUUUUGAUUAAGAUCGGGUAGCUAUUUAUGUUGAGUAGUUUGCAUGCAUGGUGUUAUCUGUUAAAGAAAUUUAGUGAUUACUGUUUUUUGUGGUUUUAUUAUUGCCUCUGUGGCUAAUGGAGUAUCUUCACUCCGGGUACAUUAUAAGGGCUUUAUGCUAUAAGGAGUAUUGCGGAGCCUAAAGAGUAUAUUUGUUGCUUCGUUAUCCUCAUUAAAUUGCAGCGAUUUGUGGUGUUUUCUAUGUACCAGUUUAAUAUGUCUUCUCCGGAUAGGCUGCUAUCUGCACCUGAGUCUAUUAAGAAGGUGAGAGAUCGUGGACAGUUAGUUAUUGUGAAUGUUAUGUAGUUAACUAAUCCCUGAGAUGUUGAACGCACAUUUGCGAUUAGUAGCCCGGAGCGCUUUCAGGUGCAUCCCGCUUCCUUGGCAUUGUAUUGUGUAAGUGUCAUUUCUGUUGCGAUUUUGGUUUUUGUUGUAGUUAUGUAGUUAUGUUAGGAUUAAUGUAAUGUGGAGGACUGGAAUAUUCAAUACUAUUAGUGUUCUUUACAUAAUUGUUGUUGUCAACAAAAUUUUCAUAGCGUCUCCGGUUAUUUGGUUGGUUAUUGUUUUCGUUCGGAUUGGUCACAAAUUUUUGAGACAAUUGGUUUAUGUAAUUAUUUUGUUGUCGGUGGUUGUUAUUGAAAUCAAUUGUCUUUUUUGGAUUGGUUUUCAAACAGUCAAGCAACGUUAAUUGUUUCGAGAAGCGUAAAAGGAUGCGCAGCGACUACAGUGGGCUCCAGUUCAUCGCGUAGGUCGCCACUCCAAUGUUCAAUUAAAUGGGCACACUUUCACAACAAGCAAUGGUGAAUCAGAGGACACAAUUAAAAGAUCAGAUUAAAGAGUUUCUCAAUUUUUGUCUAUAUUUGAUACAUUGAUGCCUUCAUCAACACAAAAAUUUGAAUCUAUUAAGAAGGAAUUUAAAGUUAUUUCUUUCUGUUGAUCGUAGUACGACAGGUUACACUUCGUUUUGCUACACACAGCUAUGUAUAUAUUUCGCUUAUGGCUAUGUAUAUAUGGCCACAUUCCAGUUUCAAAUUUGACUAUAUUCCCAUGAAAACUGGGUAGGGAAGUAAUAUACUGCACAAUUCUUUAGAACGCACUUCCCACUUGCAAACUAACAAAGAGGACAAAACAAAGCCUAUUUAAAAAAAAUCAAACGAUCGUUCACGAAGACUCCGAAAAUUUUGUUAACGAAAAUCAGUAAGAGCUCUCUGGGAAUAUUCAUCGCACCUUUGAACAAUGCAU